rnacentral:rRNA from 1 species
GGUCUAGCCUGCCCAGUGAUAUUUUUAACGGCCGCGGUACUCUGACCGUGCGAAGGUAGCAUAAUCACUUGUUCUUUAAAUGAGGACUAGUAUCAACGGCAUCACGAGGAUUUUACUGUCUCCUUUUUCCUAUCGGUGAAACUGAUCUCCCCGUGAAGAAGCGGGGAUAUUUCUAUAAGACGAGAAGACCCCAUGGAGCUUUAAACCCAGAGACACCUCAAACCCUCCCUCCCAUAAAAGUUUUUAUGUGCUGUCCUCUGGUUUUAGGUUGGGGUGACCGCGGAGUAUAACUUAACCUCCACAACGCACGGAACUUCUUCCUUAUCUGAGAGUGACAUCUCAAAGAAUUAAUACAUUAACGUAAAAUGAUCCAAUAACUUUUAUUUUGAUUAACGAACCAAGUUACCCUGGGGAUAACAGCGCAAUCCAUUUCCAGAGCCCCUAUCGACA